rnacentral:rRNA from 1 species
GAGUGGCGGACGGGUGAGUAACGCGUGGGAACCUGCCCUUGAGUGCGGGAUAACCGAGGGAAACUUCGGCUAAUACCGCAUGCGCCGGGGGAAAGAUUUAUCGCUCGAGGAGGGGCCCGCGUCGGAUUAGCUAGUUGGUGGGGUAACGGCCUACCAAGGCGAUGAUCCGUAGCUGGUCUGAGAGGACGGCCAGCCACACUGGAACUGAGACACGGUCCAGACUCCUACGGGAGGCAGCAGUGGGGAAUAUUGGACAAUGGGCGAAAGCCUGAUCCAGCCAUGCCGCGUGAGUGAUGAAGGCCUUAGGGUUGUAAAGCUCUUUUGGCGGGGAAGAUAAUGACGGUACCCGCAGAAUAAGCACCGGCUAACUUCGUGCCAGCAGCCGCGGUAAUACGAAGGGUGCUAGCGUUGUUCGGAAUUACUGGGCGUAAAGCGCGCGUAGGCGGCCAUGCAAGUCAGGGGUGAAAUCCCGCAGCUUAACUGCGGAACUGCCUUUGAGACUGUAUGGCUGGAGUGUGUGAGGGGAUAGCGGAAUUCCUAAUGUAGAGGUGAAAUUCGUAGAUAUUAGGAGGAACACCGGUGGCGAAGGCGGCUAUCUGGCGCACAAC